GCAUUGAGGACCUGAUCCAAAGCCCACUGAAGUCAAUGGGAGUCCUUCCACUAACUUGAGUGGGCUUUGGAUCAGGCCCUUGUAGA
rnacentral:pre_miRNA from 1 species